UUUCUAGUUCUUGUUUUUCUUACAACUUCAAUUUUGUUCAUCAUCCCUGCUGCAGAAGUAAGCUGGUAAGGAGAACAGACUAAGGACUAGAAUUCACUAUCGCGAACCAGAAUCUAAAAUCAAGCCUGUUUUGUUUUGCAGGUUGAUAGGCCCCAACAUGGACCAUUAAAAAUACAUGAAUGCAGAUGGCUGAAUACAAGAACGUCACAGCUGUUCAUCCCAACACUAUUUGCAGGCGCAUGUCCUCAGCUGAGAUUAAGCCUCUGGAUGGCAGAGACUUUCCUUUCCAUCUUGUGGUCUGAUGCCAGUAAUUCGAGAAGGCACACCUUUGUGUGUGGAAGAAAUCCACAUCACCACUGUCCCAGAGUCAGACCAUCCUGUACUUGAUCCUGUCUAUACCAUCUACAAGCGGUGUGACCCUAGGCGGGUGACAGGAAUGCAGAGAGAGGGGCUGUCUUCUCCCCUGUGACCCCAUCACCUGCCUCGGGGCAGUAUGCAGCUGGAUCUAUGGACGCCACGAGAGACCAGGGGCCCUAAACCAAGACAUGAUGUGUGCUGGAUUGGCCUGUGGACACUAUUGUGCCAACAAGACCAUCAGAGACUGAGCAAAGGCCUGUGGACAUCUUAUGGACCUGCUUCAAUUGUUGGACAUGAAAUUUCAGCUGACAGCAAGAAAGGAGAUUCAAACCUGCAGUCCAGGCAAGAGAGAUGGAAGAAAGGGAGCCAAGUAAAUACUGGAUGCAAAAGAGAAGAGGGGAUGACCACAGAGGGUGUCAGGACAGAACCUGCAGGAAUUCAGACAGAGGUACAUGCAUCCCUUACAGUCCUGGAUGAUUUAAACCGGGCCUAGCUGAGAGGGGAGAAAGCUCUGAGGAAGAUGGAAAGCAAAGGACCAGAUGAAGAGAAUGCAGGAAGAAGAAGGGGGAGAGGUUUGGAGUUGGAACUGGGGGGAACAUAUGAAAACAGCACCAAAUGUAUUGCUGAAACUUCAGAGGACAAAGCAUCCUGCAACAACUACAAACAGCCAAACAUUACAAAACCCUGAGGGAGAGAUGAACUCAUUUCAUUACCUUAAAAAAAUUAAGCUAGAGGUUUCAAAUUGGAUGCUGGACCAGUUGUAGCAUCUUUGAAACUCAAAAGUAAGUGGUAAUUCAGAAAAUCAGGAGCAUUUAAAAAUCAGCAGCAGUCACCUAAAAUAUAAGGUUUCUAUUUUGUUUGGUUUUAAACAUCUUUUGAUAAAUUGCUAAGAUUUGUUAUAUAGAACUAUGCAUUCCCUUGUGAUAAAAAUGAGCAGAAGCACAAAGGGGAAGGGGAAGAGAGAGGGUAGGGGAAAGGAAAGAAGGGAAAGAAAUAAAUAUGAGAAAAGGAAAAAAUAGAAACAAAGUCUUUGUAAAUAGGGAGGGGUGGAAGGGUUGAAGGGAGGGCAGGGGAAUGGGGGAAAACUAAGAACCAAGAUGGAUUAUGUAAAGGUACAAACUCCCAAUAAUGAAUGUUGGCAUAUUGUAUACCUAAAAUGUACCAAUAAAAUUAGUGAAAAAAAAUGAGCAGGGGGAGGGGAAAGCUGUCCCUUGCACAUGGGGUGUGUGGGCCCCAUUCCCACAGCUCUCCCAGGCCCCUCACAGGACAGGUGAAGCUAAGUGUGCCACAGACCCAGGUCCCUGCGGAGGUGGUUACACAUACAGUGUUAAAUAAAAGAGCCUCAGUAUAAGGCCACAAGUGGAGACUGCAGUUCAGCCUUCUCAGACCACCUCCCUCCUCCAGCGGGGGAGGCUGUGUCUGCUGUGAGCUCACUCCAUGAGGGGGCGUGGGAAUCAGGCUGCUCCCAGCCUCACUCCACCAAAGGCCCGGGGUGGCAGGAGAACAGCAGCAGUGAUGUUUGUGACAUGGGUGGAAAAAAAGCUUCACCUCAUACCUUCCACCUUCACUGCUCAUUAAUCACCUACCAGGAGCCGGGCACUGCCAUUUAGUGGCAAAGGAAGCACACAACCCCUGCCCUCAAGGAGCAGCCACCUGCCACCACCACAGGGCACCAGCCAUUCCAGCCAAGUCCCCCCAUGGCUUCCCAGUUGCCACACUCCAACCAUCCCUCAGUCCUCAGCCCAAUGACAUUUCAGCAGCAACUUUCCAAUGGGGCCUUGUCAUUUCCCUAUUUGUACAUUUCAAACAUCCAGCCAUAGGGAGCCACCUUGAUCUUUCACAAAUGGUCUGUACUACUAUUUACAUAGCAUC
rnacentral:lncRNA from 1 species